UUUUCAUUACAUAUGUUCCAC
ensembl:piRNA 21ur-10516 ncRNA